rnacentral:lncRNA from 1 species
CUUUCAAAUCUAUCUCAUAGAUUAUCUUGAUCAUGGUUUUGUUAAAUUGAAAUACACUGAUGCAUAUCUCCUACCAAUUUAGAGUGGUCAAUUCCAUCUUGACUCAUACACUGACUUGAUAAGUACUUGACUGCAUCUAGUAUCCUUCCAUCACUAAGUUAGAUACUCAGAUAGUCCAGUACUAAAGUAUAGUGAGUUGCUUACAAGUCACUGUGGUGGUCUC